rnacentral:rRNA from 1 species
AGAGUUUGAUCAUGGCUCAGAACGAACGCUGGCGGCGUGCUUAACACAUGCAAGUCGAACGCGAAAGUAGACUUCGGUCUGCGAGUAGAGUGGCGCACGGGUGAGUAACGCGUAAGUAAUCUACCCUUCUAUCUGGGAUAACAGUGGGAAACUGCUGCUAAUACCGGAUACGGUCUUAAUGUCGCGAGACAUUAAGAAGAAAGGUGGCCUCUCCUUGGAAGCUACCGUAGAGGGACGAGCUUGCGUACCAUUAGCUAGUUGGUGGGGUAAUGGCCUACCAAGGCCGCGAUGGUUAGCGGGUCUGAGAGGAUGAUCCGCCACACUGGAACUGAAACACGGACCAGACUCCUACGGGAGGCAGCAGUGAGGAAUAUUGCGCAAUGGGGGAAACCCUGACGCAGCGACGCCGCGUGAGUGAAGAAGGAUUUCGGUUCGUAAAGCUCUGUCAAGUGGGAAGAAAUGUCAUAUAGCUAAUACCUAUAUGAUUUGACGGUACCACUAAAGGAAGCACCGGCUAACUCCGUGCCAGCAGCCGCGGUAAUACGGAGGGUGCAAGCGUUGUUCGGAAUUACUGGGCGUAAAGGGCGCGUAGGCGGCCUAUUAAGUCAGAUGUGAAAGCCCGGGGCUCAACCCCGGUAGGUCACCUGAAACUGGUAGGCUUGAGUAUCGGAGAGGAUAGUGGAAUUCCCGGUGUAGAGGUGAAAUUCGUAGAUAUCGGGAGGGACACCAGUAGCGAAGGCGACUAUCUGGGCGAUACUGACGCUGAGGCGCGAAAGCGUGGGGAGCAAACAGGAUAGAUACCCUGGUAGUCCACAGCUGUAAACGAUGUGCACUAGGUGUAGGAGGUGUUGACCCAUCUGUGCCGCAGCUAACGCAUUAAGUGCACCGCCUGGGGAGUACGGUCGCAAGAUUAAAACUCAAAGGAAUUGACGGGGGCCCGCACAAGCGGUGGAGUAUGUGGUUUAAUUCGACGCAACGCGCAGAACCUUACCUGGACUUGACAUCCCGAGAAUUUUCUAGAAAUAGAAAAGUGCCUCUUCCGAGGAGCUCGGUGACAGGUGCUGCAUGGCUGUCGUCAGCUCGUGUCGUGAGAUGUUGGGUUAAGUCCCGCAACGAGCGCAACCCUCGCCUUUAGUUGCCAGCAUUCAGUUGGGCACUCUAAAGGGACUGCCGGUGUCAAACCGGAGGAAGGUGGGGAUGACGUCAAGUCCUCAUGGCCUUUAUGUCCAGGGCUACACACGUACUACAAUGGCAGGUACAAAGGGCAGCUAACUCGCGAGAGCAAGCGAAUCCCAUAAAACCUGUCUCAGUCCGGAUCGGAGUCUGCAACUCGACUCCGUGAAGUUGGAAUCGCUAGUAAUCGUGGAUCGGCAUGCCACGGUGAAUACGUUCCCGGGCCUUGUACACACCGCCCGUCACACCACGAAAGUCGGUUGUACCAGAAGACGUUGGGCUAACCUUCGGGAAGCAGGCGUCCAAGGUAUGAUCGGUAAUUGGGGUGAAGUCGUAACAAGGUAACCGUA